UCCUUCAUUUAUUGGGUUCACAAUAGACAA
rnacentral:piRNA from 1 species